rnacentral:tRNA from 2 species
UCUAAUAUGGCAGAAAAUAUUAUGCAAUGAAUUUAAGAUUCAUAUAUAAAGAAUUAAUCUUUUAUUAGAA